GUCGUGAGAUGUUGGGUUAAGUCCCGCAACGAGCGCAACCCUUAUUUCAUGUUGCCAGCGCGUUAUGGCGGGGACUCGUGAGAGACUGCCGGGGUCAACUCGGAGGAAGGUGGGGAUGACGUCAAGUCAUCAUGCCCCUUAUGUCCAGGGCUUCACACAUGCUACAAUGGCCGGUACAAAGGGCUGCGAUGCCGUGAGGUUAAGCGAAUCCUUUAAAGCCGGUCUCAGUUCGGAUCGGGGUCUGCAACUCGACCCCGUGAAGUCGGAGUCGCUAGUAAUCGCAGAUCAGCAACGCUGCGGUGAAUACGUUCCCGGGCCUUGUACACACCGCCCGUCACGUCAUGAAAGUCGGUAACACCCGAAGCCAGUGGCCCAACCCUUGUGGGGGGAGCUGUCGAAGGUGGGAUCGGCGAUUGGGACGAAGUCGUAACAAGGUAGCCGUACCGGAAGGUGCGGCUGGAUCACCUCCUUUCUAAGGAGCACCACGAGUACAUCCCCGUUGGGGGGGUGUGAGCCGUGAGGAGUCUGUUCACCUGUAGUGGGUGUGGGCUUGGUGCACAACAACAUUCGCCUCUUUUUGGGGCAGCAAUUUCACCGGCACACUAUUGGGCUUUGAGGCAACACCUGUUUGUUCCCCGCCGUGUUGGGGGGUGGUGUUGUCCCGCCAUUUUGGUGGUGGGGUGUGGUGUUUGGUAAUUGGAUAGUGGUUGCGAGCAUCGAUGGGAUGCGACACCCUUUGUGGGUGUGGUGUUCUGUUGUGCAAUUUCUGAUAUGAAAACGUUGGUUUUUGUGUUUGUAAGUGUUUUAGGGCACAUGGUGGAUGCCUUGGCAUCAGGAGCCGAUGAAGGACGUGGGAGGCUGCGAUAUGCCUCGGGGAGCUGUCAACCGAGCGUUGAUCCGAGGAUGU
rnacentral:sRNA from 1 species